CCGCAUUGUUCUGGUGGUGGAAAGAUUUUUUGGUUGGGGAUGGACCUCGCGGCCUAUCAGCUUGUUGGUGAGGUAAUGGCUCACCAAGGCGACGACCGGUAGCCGGCCUGAGAGGGUGACCGGCCACACUGGGACUGAGACACGGCCCAGACUCCUACGGGAGGCAGCAGUGGGGAAUAUUGCACAAUGGGCGAAAGCCUGAUGCAGCAACGCCGCGUGAGGGAUGACGGCCUUCGGGUUGUAAACCUCUUUUAGUAGGGAAGAAGCGUAAUGACGGUACCUGCAGAAAAAGCACCGGCUAACUACGUGCCAGCAGCCGCGGUAAUACGUAGGGUGCAAGCGUUGUCCGGAAUUAUUGGGCGUAAAGAGCUCGUAGGCGGUUUGUCGCGUCUGCUGUGAAAUCCCGAGGCUCAACCUCGGGCUUGCAGUGGGUACGGGCAGACUAGAGUGCGGUAGGGGAGAUUGGAAUUCCUGGUGUAGCGGUGGAAUGCGCAGAUAUCAGGAGGAACACCGAUGGCGAAGGCAGAUCUCUGGGCCGUAACUGACGCUGAGGAGCGAAAGCGUGGGGAGCGAACAGGAUUAGAUACCCUGGUAGUCCACGCCGUAAACGUUGGGC
rnacentral:rRNA from 1 species